rnacentral:rRNA from 1 species
CCUACGGGAGGCAGCAGUGGGGAAUAUUGCACAAUGGGCGAAAGCCUGAUGCAGCGACGCCGCGUGAGGGAUGACGGCCUUCGGGUUGUAAACCUCUUUCAGUAGGGAAGAAGCGAAAGUGACGGUACCUGCAGAAGAAGCGCCGGCUAACUACGUGCCAGCAGCCGCGGUAAUACGUAGGGCGCAAGCGUUAUCCGGAAUUAUUGGGCGUAAAGAGCUCGUAGGCGGUUUGUCGCGUCUGCCGUGAAAGUCCGGGGCUCAACUCCGGAUCUGCGGUGGGUACGGGCAGACUAGAGUGAUGUAGGGGAGACUGGAAUUCCUGGUGUAGCGGUGAAAUGCGCAGAUAUCAGGAGGAACACCGAUGGCGAAGGCAGGUCUCUGGGCAUUAACUGACGCUGAGGAGCGAAAGCAUGGGGAGCGAACAGGAUUAGAUACCCUGGUAGUCCAUGCCGUAAACGUUGGGCACUAGGUGUGGGGGACAUUCCACGUUUUCCGCGCCGUAGCUAACGCAUUAAGUGCCCCGCCUGGGGAGUACGGCCGCAAGGCAAAACUCAAAUGAAUUGACGGCUGAGACGNGCGAGCGACGACGAGGGAGAG